rnacentral:lncRNA from 1 species
GGUUGGGUCAGGAAGCCUUUCCACUUCCGCCAAUCUGUAGUUCUCCAGUUGCCAUGGAAACUGGGACAGUGGGGCCACACCAUCUGGACCCCUCUUUACAGCGACAACCCAAGUGUCAACAUCUGAGAACCCCAGUUCAGCCAGCUGGAAGCACUCACCUUUGUCUAACGAUGCCUUUGGUAUUUCAGCUGCAGGGAUACAUUUGAGAAGGUCUCACAGUUAAACUGCACUCCCCCAGAGGCAUGAGGAAGUCCUAGCCCCAACUACUCCAGACGCAGCCUCAUCUGGAAAUAGAGUUUGAAGAUGCUCUUGUGUUGAAACGAAGUCAGUGGGGUGAGCCCUAAUCCUGUUCACUGGAGUUUGGGUUUAGACCCAGAAUGGUCCCCAAAGCCUCCAGCCGAAAGGAAAAGCAAGAGACACAGGGCAGCCAGCCUGGGAACGCCAAGGAUUGGUGGCCACCACCGAAAGCCAAGUGGCAAGGCAGGGCUCUAGCCAGAGAGUUGGGGGACCACACCGUUCUAGCCGGGGUGCGGGGCCAGGACACCGCAGAGCUCCUCCCCCAUCCAACACAGUGGUGUCUUUAG